rnacentral:rRNA from 1 species
UAUCCGGAUUCACUGGGUUUAAAGGGUGCGUAGGCGGCUUGCCAAGUCAGUGGUGAAAGCCCGCGGCUUAACCGUGGAAUUGCCAUUGAAACUGGCUGGCUCGAGUAUGAUUGAAGUGGAUGGAAUACAUCAUGUAGCGGUGAAAUGCUUAGAUAUGAUGUAGAACACCAAUUGCGAAGGCAGUUCACUAAGUCAUAACUGACGCUGAGGCACGAAAGCGUGGGGAUCAAACAGG